GAAACUUAAAGGAAUUGGCGGGGGAGCACAGCAACGGGAGGAGCGUGCGGUUUAAUUGGAUUCAACGCCGGAAAACUCACCGGAGGCGACGGUUACAUGAAGGCCAGGCUGAUGACCUUGCCUGAUUUUCCGAGAGGUGGUGCAUGGCCGCCGUCAGUUCGUACCGUAAGGCGUUCUGUUAAGUCAGAUAACGAACGAGACCCUCAUCCUUAAUUGCUACUAAUGACCUCGGUUGUUAGGCACAUUAAGGAGACCGCUGACGAUAAGUCAGAGGAAGGCGAGGGCAACGGUAGGUCAGUAUGCCCUGAAUCCUCCGGGCUACACGCGCGCUACAAAGGCCAGGACAAUGGGUUUCGACACCGAAAGGUGGAGGUAAUCCCGAAACCUGGUCAUAGUUCGGAUUGAGGGCUGAAACUCGCCCUCAUGAAGCUGGAUUCCGUAGUAAUCGCGGAUCAACAUCCCGCGGUGAAUAUGCCCCUGCUCCUUGCACACACCGCCCGUCAAACCAUGCGAGUUGGGUUCAAGUGAGGAUGUAGUAUUUUGCUGCGUUCAAACUUGGGCUUAGCAAGCGGGGUUAAGUCGUAACAA
rnacentral:rRNA from 1 species